CCUAUUACCUGGCAAGGGAGAUACCAUGAUCCUGAAGGUGAUUUUCCCAGGGUCAGGCUCAUCCAUUGUACUGCGAGUUUGCUGACCCCUGCGAUUUCCCCAAAUGCGUGCAACUCGAAAAGUGGAAUUGGACUGAGAGGAAGGAGGUACCGUUGCCCAACAUAAACUCCUCU
ensembl:snRNA U1 U1 spliceosomal RNA